rnacentral:misc_RNA from 1 species
GGGUGCUGCAAUUUCUUAUGAAGCCUAGGCUAGAAUUUGAGAAUAUAAGGGCUAAUAUAGCUAAUCGUGGGAUCAUAGAUUUUGAUUCAGUUUUGGGAGAGUUACUUCGAGAGGAAACUCGACUACGAACUCAAGCUAAUUUAGAUGCAAAAACUAAUAAUGUUGGUACUAUCUUUUUUGCUUUUUAUAGUAGACCACCAAUGAAGAAAAU